UCAAAGCCAUUUCACUACCCGCUCAACAUUUUCUUCUCCUCUUCUCAAUGUAAAAAACCCAGCCCCCAUUUCUCUCGGCUACCGCUCUCCACCGUCAACAACCACUCACUCACUUUCGGUGACACAGCGUUCUCUCCCUCACGCACAUCCCUCUCUCUGCUCAGCGAGAGAGAACCCAGUUCCUCGUGGGUCGGCUCACCCGAUUUCUAAAAAGGGUCGCUACUCUCAGAGAACCGGCAAAUUAGGAGCUCCCGCCCACCUCGUCGCCAUUCUCGAAUAUCUCGCCGCUGAGUUAUCGAUCACCGUAUCUGAUGUUGCUUUAGGGUGGCAGCUGCAAAGGCAAACUUACUAGCCACUUAAUUUCAUUUACGCACUUUGGUUAAAGAUCAAAGCUGUGUAUGGCUUACUAGCAUGAGAAAGGGAAAAGGUCAUGGAGAACAAAGGCAUGCAAGAUGGUUGUUAUAAGCAGACCGGUAACUGUAAGCGUAGCAGCGCCAGCGAGUAUGACAGACAUAGCUUGUGUUAUUACGCUUCUGACU